rnacentral:rRNA from 1 species
UUUAAAUGAAGACCAGAACAAAAGAUUUAACGUUUAAAUUAAUAUUUAUAUUUAAAUAAUUUAAUUUAUCUUAAAUGUAAAAAGACAUUUAUAUAAAAGAAAGACGACAAGACCCUAUUGAACUUAACUUUAGUUUAACUGGGGCAGUUAAUUAAUAAUAAUUUUAAUAAUAAUUAAAAAAAAAAUAAUCCAAUACAAUUGAAAUAUGAUCAAGUUACCAUAGGGAUAACAGCGUAAUAAUUUUUCAAAGACCUUAUAAAAAUAAUAGUUUGCGACCUCGAUGUUGAAUUAAUUACCUAAUUAGAGCAAAAACCAAUUAAGGAAGUCUGUUCGACUUUUAAAUAAUUACAUGAUUUGAGUUCAGACCGGUAUAAGCCAGGUCGGUUUCUAUCUUCUAAUAAUAAUAUUUUUUACAGUACGAAAGGACCUAAAAAAAUAAUUUAAUUAUUAUAUUGGCAGAAAAAUGCAUUAGAAUUAGAAUCUAAUAAAACUAAUUAAUUCCAUUUAUUAUAUCAUAUCUAAUUAUUAUUAUUAGA